UCUAAUAAGGAUGCUGUUAUACGGACUCCAAUCUCUAUGAUGACCACCCAUGUCUUUGUCAACUUCAUGCUAAAAGUGCCCAACGCCCGUGGUGGUGGCAGUGCAUGGCGUGUGUGUGGAAGCAGGAGUGGAUCUAAUCACAGCCUGUGAUAUUCGUCUGUGCACACAGGAUGCCUGGUUUCAGGUGAAGUCGUGUGUUCCCUGAUAGUCCAUGAUUGCUGGAGCUCUGGAAAUAGCAGGUGAGAUUGCAGGCCGGAGUCGCGUCGCUGUCCAAGGAACCAAAAUCAACCUCCUCUGCUCCUGAGACCACAGUGUGACUGAGAGCCUAGACUACAUGGCUACUUGGAACAUGAACAUGUUGCAGACACAGGAUCUUAUGAAGUCAGCGCAGGCAGCCCUGGAAAAGAAGAGUCCGAAAGACGUGCCCUUCUCCAAGCUUUAAAGGAGAAGAUCCAGGGCUGUUGAAGCUGCGGUGGAACUGAGACAUCAUCAUCCACAUAUCUUUAGUUCUUCUUGCUAAGUCUGUUUCUUUUUAGUCUUUUUAUUUUUAGACUGGUCAAAAGACUGAUUAGUGGAAGUGAAAUGAUAGAUGAACUUUUAUUUACUUGCUUUAUUAUUUGCAGGUGCCUUGUACAGUAAGACAGGGUAACUAAUACUCAAAAGCUUUUUUUGUGUGUUAACAUGUACAGUAGAUGGACAUAUUUUUUCUGGUGCUGUGACUGCAGAAUGUAGUGCAGUUAACACAUAAAAUUUCCUUGGAUGCUCACUUUUAACUCGAGGAGGUCACAGUUUGCCCAGACAUCUUUUUUUAAAUCCGUCAAUCCGUCACCCACACGUCAUUCUGGGGGACGAAGAGGAGGAAGCUGGACAGAUAAAUUUAUUUAUUUAUUUAUCAUUGCUGUGUUUCCUUAAUCGAGUGCAGAAAGAAGAA
ensembl:lncRNA